rnacentral:rRNA from 1 species
UACGGAGGGAGCUAGCGUUAUUCGGAAUUACUGGGCGUAAAGCGCACGUAGGCGGCUUUGUAAGUAAGAGGUGAAAGCCCAGAGCUCAACUCUGGAAUUGCCUUUUAGACUGCAUCGCUUGAAUCAUGGAGAGGUCAGUGGAAUUCCGAGUGUAGAGGUGAAAUUCGUAGAUAUUCGGAAGAACACCAGUGGCGAAGGCGGCUGACUGGACAUGUAUUGACGCUGAGGUGCGAAAGCGUGGGGAGCAAACAGGAUUAGAACCAGUAC